rnacentral:tRNA from 1 species
GGUCCCAUCGUCUAGUGGCCUAGGACGGCAGGUUUUCAGCCUGUCUACACCAGUUCGAAUCUGGUUGGGAUCACCC